GAUGAAGAACGCAGCGAAAUGCGAUAAGUAAUGUGAAUUGCAGAAUUCAGUGAAUCAUCGAAUCUUUGAACGCACAUUGCGCCCCUUGGUAUUCCGAGGGGCAUGCCUGUUCGAGCGUCAUUAUAACCCCUCAAGCUCAGCUUGGUGUUGGGGCCUGCUGCACUGGCAGCCCUUAAAAUCAGUGGCGGCGCCAUCUGGCUCUAAGCGUAGUAAUUCUUCUCGCUAUGGAGUCCUGGUGGAUGCUUGCCAUCAACCCCCAAUUUUUCUAUGGUUGACCUCGGAUCAGGUAGGGAUACCCGCUGAACUUAAGCAUAUCUAAGCGGAGGA
rnacentral:misc_RNA from 1 species